rnacentral:rRNA from 1 species
CCUACGGGGGGCUGCAGUGGGGAAUUUUGGACAAUGGGCGCAAGCCUGAUCCAGCCAUGCCGCGUGGGUGAAGAAGGCCUUCGGGUUGUAAAGCCCUUUCGGCCGGGAAGAAAUCGUGCGGGCGAACAGUCUGCAUGGAUGACGGUACCGGAAGAAGAAGCACCGGCUAACUACGUGCCAGCAGCCGCGGUAAUACGUAGGGUGCGAGCUGUAAUCGGAAUGUUUGGGGGUGAAGCCUGAGCAGGCGGGUGAAAUCCCCGGGCUUAACCUGGGAACUGCGGUUGUGACUGUGGUGCUAGAGUACGGCAGAGGGAGGUGGAAUUCCUGGUGUAGCAGUGAAAUGCGUAGAGAUCAGGAGGAACACCGAUGGCGAAGGCAGCCUCCUGGGCUGAUACUGACGCUCAUGCACGAAAGCGUGGGGAGCAAACAGGAUUAGAUACCCGAGUAGUC